GAUGAAGAACGUAGCGAAAUGCGAUAAGUAAUGUGAAUUGCAGAAUUCAGUGAAUCAUCGAAUCUUUGAACGCACCUUGCGCCCUUUGGCCAUUCCGAAGGGCAUGCCUGUUUGAGUAUCAUGAACACCUCAACUCUUCAUGGUUUUCCGUGAUGAGCUUGGACUUUGGGGGUCUUGCUGGCCUAUGGUCAGCUCCUCUAAAAUAAAUCAGCUUGCCAGUGUUUGGUGGGUAUCACAGGUGUGAUAACUAUCUACGCUUGUGGUUUUCCACCAGGUAACCUUCAGCAGUGGAGGUUCGCUGGAGCUCACAGAUGUGUCUCUCCUCAGUGAGGACAGCUCUUUGAACGUUUGAUCUCAAAUCAGGUAGGACUACCCGCUGAACUUAAGCAUAUCAAUAAGCGGAGGA
rnacentral:misc_RNA from 1 species